rnacentral:pre_miRNA from 1 species
GUGGAGUGCAGGAUCCUGGGCUGUGUCCCCCGGCGCCCUGGGAUCCGGGGCCUGCGCUUCUGGAAUCGCGCUCCCAGCCCCUGGAUCCCCAA